GGUGGAUGCUUACCUGGUCGUGCGGAAGAGGCUGGUGCUACAACGGCUACAAGCAGCAACAACAGCAGUCCAGAGGGUCUGCUGCCACCACAGAGGGCGAGAGUGUCCAGUACCACAGAAGUUCUUCUUUUCUCUGGAGGAUGACCAGUUUGUCCCUGAAGAAUGUAACCCACUUCACUUGGCAUUACAUCUGUGGUUGCCGGAGGCUGUGCAAAGUGUGGGGACUCAUUAGCUUGUCUGCUUACAGCCGUCUCUGUGGACCGAGACUCUCCAUUCAGCACUCGGCUAAUGAAUUAACACAUUAUGAUGAAAUGUCAGCCAUUACAUGUGAAUGAGGAUUAGAGAAGCAGCAGGACACUAAUGGACCACAGGGCUCAAACUAGUCACUGAGACUUUGAACA